AUUCCAGCUCCAAUAGCGUAUAUUAAAGUUGUUGCAGUUAAAAAGCUCGUAGUUGGAUUUGUGACGGUUCCCGUGGUCCAAAAUGUUUUGGAACUGUUGGGAACUGCCAUCCUUGGGUGGAACCUGUGGGGCAUUAGGUUGUUUUGCGGGGGAUGCCCAUCAUUUACUGUGAAAAAAUUAGAGUGUUCAAAGCAGGCUUAUGCCGUUGAAUAGAUUAGCAUGGAAUAAUGAGAUAGGACUUGGGUACUAUUUUGUUGGUUUGUGCACCAAAGUAAUGAUUAAUAGGGACAGUUGGGGGUAUUCGUAUUCCAUUGUCAGAGGUGAAAUUCUUGGAUUUUUGGAAGACGAACUACUGCGAAAGCAUUUACCAAGGAUGUU
rnacentral:rRNA from 1 species